rnacentral:rRNA from 1 species
UACGUAGGGUGCGAGCGUUGUCCGGAAUUAUUGGGCGUAAAGAGCUCGUAGGCGGUGUGUCACGUCGGCCGUGAAAACCUGGGGCUUGACUCUGGGCGUGCGGUCGAUACGGGCAUCACUAGAGUUCGGCAGGGGAGACUGGAAUUCCUGGUGUAGCGGUGAAAUGCGCAGAUAUCAGGAGGAACACCGGUGGCGAAGGCGGGUCUCUGGGCCGAUACUGACGCUGAGGAGCGAAAGCAUGGGUAGCGAACAGG